AUUGAACGCUGGCGGAAUGCUUUACACAUGCAAGUCGAACGGCAGCACGGGGGCAACCCUGGUGGCGAGUGGCGAACGGGUGAGUAAUACAUCGGAACGUGCCCAGUCGUGGGGGAUAACGUAGCGAAAGCUACGCUAAUACCGCAUACGAUCUACGGAUGAAAGCGGGGGAUCGCAAGACCUCGCGCGAUUGGAGCGGCCGAUGGCAGAUUAGGUAGUUGGUGGGGUAAAGGCUCACCAAGCCGACGAUCUGUAGCUGGUCUGAGAGGACGACCAGCCACACUGGGACUGAGACACGGCCCAGACUCCUACGGGAGGCAGCAGUGGGGAAUUUUGGACAAUGGGCGCAAGCCUGAUCCAGCCAUUCCGCGUGCAGGAUGAAGGCCUCGGUU
rnacentral:rRNA from 1 species